GAUGAACGCUAGCUACAGGCUUAACACAUGCAAGUCGAGGGGAAACGAUGAGAGAGCUUGCUCUCUUAGUCGUCGACCGGCGCACGGGUGAGUAACGCGUAUCCAACCUGCCUCUGACCAAGGGAUAACCCGUCGAAAGUCGGACUAAUACCUUAUGCAGUCGUCGGAAGUCAUCUGAUGACGACGAAAGAUUUCAUCGGUGAGAGAUGGGGAUGCGUCUGAUUAGCUUGUUGGCGGGGUAACGGCCCACCAAGGCGACGAUCAGUAGGGGUUCUGAGAGGAAGGUCCCCCACAUUGGAACUGAGACACGGUCCAAACUCCUACGGGAGGCAGCAGUGAGGAAUAUUGGUCAAUGGGCGUAAGCCUGAACCAGCCAAGUGGCGUGCAGGAUGACGGCCCUAUGGGUUGUAAACUGCUUUUAUGCGGGGAUAAAGUGAGGGACGUGUCCUUCAUUGCAGGUACCGCAUGAAUAAGGACCGGCUAAUUCCGUG
rnacentral:rRNA from 1 species